UGACCUCUGUAUCUCCUGCCAG
rnacentral:miRNA from 1 species